rnacentral:misc_RNA from 1 species
GGGUCAAUCAAUAAAACCUGUUCUCUGAAAUACAGCAUUACGAACACGCCGCAAAUCCCUUCCUUUUAGCGUCCUCCCAACGCCUUCAAAAACAGAGAACGUCACGUGCGACUGCGCCACCAUCACGUGAGGAGGAACCAUUUCCUCCCCUUCCACUUCAUCUUCCACCUCAUCAAAUUGGUCUAACCCACCCACCGGUCCAUCCUUCUUCUGCCACACGGGCACGUUUACCGGAGCAGAUUGAUGAAAUUUAGGGUGAGAAUUAGGAUUUGAAUUCUCCGAACGGAACACCGGUGGAAUCAUCUUCGCAGCGGAUGUGGCAGAUACGGAAGGGUUGAGGGUAGAUUUACGACGGACAAGAGGGUGGUGGUCGUCGGUGAGAGCAGCGGAGAGACCGGAAUUUGAAGGUUUGUAGAGGGUAGGGGGACGUUGAGGGAGGUGGCGGGUAGGGGUAGGGGGAGAGAAGGAAUUAACGACAGCGGAAUCAGGGGAUUCAGACCAGAAAACAUCGCUCUCGUCGAAUUCAUCUAGGAUGUUGUUGUUAGGGUUAGAGUCAGGUUGUUUAAGGAGACCCAUGAAGCGGAUGGAGGAAGAAAAAGAAGAAGUAUUGGUGAUGGGAGAAGGC